GAUGGUGGUUGCUAGGGGCUGGGAGGUGGAGGGAAAUGGGGAGUUUCUGCUUAAUGGGAAUAGAGUUUCAAUUUGCGCAACUCGGAAAGACUUGUUGCUUUGUUUUUUUGACUAGAUGUCAAAAAAAAUCCCAUACUCCUAUUGUAGAAAAUACCCAGUGUGGUACCAGGACACACAGCAAACUCACCAGUGACUGCAGCAUUAAAGCCAGACAGGAUUGAGUGUUUGGGGAGGAAGUGACUCCACUGGGUGGGAAUAUCUCAUGGGCAUGGACCAGGUCAGUAGACUCCUUUCGUGACUCCAGCCUUCCUGACACAGAGAUGCUUACUCAGUGUUUGAGGAAUAAAUGAUUGCCCCUGUCACCUCAUCUAGGACCCACUUCUUUUCCUCUGCCCCAGACACUCACGCAGACUCUAAAGAAUCCCCCAUCUGGCAGGACCCACCAUCUAUGCUCUAGAUGAGGCUGUGACCCACUGAGGUCAAGCAGAAGCUCAGCAGCUCCCUGAUGUAGACAACAGGACUCAGAAAUGCAACUCAGAUGGGAAGCCCUUACAGACUCGCUGUGUCCCAUUCCUCACAUGUCCUCAGAGGUCCUGGUCCAGGCUCUGGUGCAGGAGGGAAGCCCCAAGAUGGGGGCAGGACACGGGGUCUGCUCCUUGUCUGCUCCCCUCUAAGAGGAUGUCAGGGUCUCUGGGCCGUGGAGUGUCCAUCCAUGCAGUGCAGAGGUGGGGCAAGCUCAGGCCUGCGGUUCCUCUUCUGUGAAGAACCGAGGUUGUGUGCUCCUCCCCAGCUUCCCACGGGUUUGCCCGCAACCUCCUCUCCCAAUAACCUUCUCCUUCUCUUUUCAGACACAGGACAGAUGCCCAGAAUCCUCCAUCUCAGAGAUGCUGCAGCUGCUGCUGCACCUGCUGUGGGCAGGACAGGAGAAGGUGCUGGACACGGAAGCCUGAAAGGAAUGGACAGACACGGGGACACCAUGAUCACUGUCUCCCAGACCUCUCUCUCCCAUCCCCAACACAACCGUGCACUUUAGGGAAGCACUUUGCUGAGUUGACCCUGACACUACGCAGAGAAACAAAUGAGCAAACUUAUUCACCUCUCACUUCUACUCUUCCAAACUAUUCCCUAUGGCUAUGAGGGAGUAGAGACAGGGAGAGGAAAGACAUAUAUACAUAAUUUUUUUUACCAGAAUUAAAGCAAUACUUGAUCCAAAACUCUGCUACUUGUGUAUUUACCUGUAUGUAGAUUUCGGAAGCCUGUCAUUGGGCACAUACUCAUCACCUGCGGUGUAAUUUAUCAUUAGGAUGCAAGGCCAGUCUACAGCACUUACGUGAGAUGCACAGUCUUGC
rnacentral:lncRNA from 1 species